GAGGAGAAUGGAUGGCGUGCCUGGCUGACUGAGGGAGCGACAGGCCCCUGGAGAGAGCAGUGCUGGCAGAGGCCAAGAGGAACUCGAAGGAGUUCUGGAUUGGCUGCUGAGACUCAACCAGGACAAGACAUCAAGACAGUGUGACUCAGCUGGAGGGCUGAGUCACCGAAGACCCACAUGCACUGAGACAGGGCGGUUGUGAGAGAUGAGUGCACCCCAUUACAAUGAAAUUAUACAUUUAGUUGACAAAGAUGGGAAAACUUCAAGUAUGGAGGUGAAUUGACUUGCCAAAGGUUGCACAGCACAUCGGUGGCAGAACCAGGACUAGAACGCAUGACUACAAAACCCAGUACUGGGAACCCCUUCAAGACUAGAAGUGCCAAUGCCCCUAGAACCACUCAGGGAGCCCCUCCUGUCCACUGGGAAAAAGCUUUGAUUUCUCUUCCUACAGGGUCACUAGAUAUCAGACCAGACCUGUAACUUGUCCAGGA